rnacentral:rRNA from 1 species
UACGAAGGGGGCUAGCGUUGUUCGGAUUUACUGGGCGUAAAGCGCACGUAGGCGGAUCGUUAAGUGAGGGGUGAAAUCCCAGGGCUCAACCCUGGAACUGCCUUUCAUACUGGCGAUCUAGAGUCCGGAAGAGGUGAGUGGAACUCCUAGUGUAGAGGUGGAAUUCGUAGAUAUUCGCAAGAACACCAGUGGCGAAGGCGGCUCACUGGCCCGGUACUGACGCUGAGGUGCGAAAGCGUGGGGAGCAAACAGG